rnacentral:rRNA from 1 species
UAAUACGUAGGGGGCAAGCGUUGUCCGGAUUUAUUGGGCGUAAAGAGCGUGUAGGCGGCCCGGCAAGUCCGACGUGAAAUCUCGAGGCUCAACCUCGAGCGGUCGUUGGAAACUGCCGGGCUAGAGUCCGGAAGAGGAGAGUGGAAUUCCCGGUGUAGCGGUGAAAUGCGCAGAUAUCGGGAAGAACACCCAUGGCGAAGGCAGCUCUCUGGGACGGUACUGACGCUGAGACGCGAAAGCGUGGGGAGCGAACAGGAUUAGAUACCCUGGUAGUCCACGCCGUAAACGAUGGGUGCUAGGUGUGGGUGGUGUCGACUCCAUCCGUGCCGAAGCUAACGCAUUAAGCACCCCGCCUGGGGAGUACGGCCGCAAGGCUAAAACUCAAAGGAAUUGACGG